rnacentral:misc_RNA from 1 species
CCUGCUCACACAGUAUUCUAGCGACGAUGGCGUCCUCCUCCUGAAUCUCAUCAGCAGCCUGUAAGAUGGCAUCAAUGUUGGUUGUACGGACGAGAGAAGGUGGGACAGCGCCGGCAAUGCCGCUUGGAGUUCUCUCAUGGCCUUGGCCAGCAGUUCUUAGUUGCUCCCUGUUCAAGGUGGCACGCACCAACCUCUCCCAGUUAUCAUAAACCCUAGCCA